rnacentral:misc_RNA from 1 species
CUACCUGAUAUAGUCAAUAAUGUUAAGGAUUGUAAACAAUCUGAGAAUCACCAAAACACUGUUGAAGUUGUUACACUUUCUGAAUCUUUCCCAACAAAAUUUCAAUCUAAAGAUGUAACUUUACUUAAUGAAUUAAAUAGACAUGAAGAGGGUGAGAUAGCAGGAGAUUGUAAGGAACUGUUAGAGCAUAUGGAUUUGAAUGCCGCAGGAAUUAAAGUACAGUCAACUUACAUUUCUUCAUCUGAUGAAAUAACUGAUAAAAUUAUAGUUCCUGAAAAGGAAAUACAAUCUGAAGAUAAUGUUACAAAAUCCACUGUAAACACCAACAUUUUUUCAACUGUUUCUGAACUCAACCUUGGUGAAACAUUACAAAUUGUAUCAUUGUCUCAGAAAACUGAUAUUCCUUCAUCUGAAGAAAUAACUGAAAAAAUCAUAGUUCCAGUUUCAAGCCAUGCAGAAGAAAUACAAUAUGAAGAAAGUGCUUCAAAAGCCACUCUAAACGUAGCAAAUUCUUCGAAUUUAUCUGAACCCAUCCUUGGUGAAACUUUAGAAGCUUCGUCCUCUUCUCAAAAAACACUGGAACAACAAACAGAAAAUAGCAAACUACUCCAUGAUGAAAGUAUUGAUGUGAGCACUGAAGAACAAGAGGCAAAAUUAAGUUCUUUAUCAGAAGUUGCAUGUACAGAAAAUGCCCUUUCAGAAGUUUUAAAAAGUGGUAUAUCAUCUGAAAGUAAGGAUAAUUAUAAUGAGAUACUAGGAAAUGAAGAACUUACUAUUCCAAAUUUACCAGAGCUUAUCUGUGAAAGAACCAACAUUCAUCAGAAAUUUGAUGACGAAAUACAAUCUGACACAAUGAAAUUUUCAGAAUUGACUUUGAAUGAAGUUGCAGAACAAAAAACCAAUGAUGAGUCUUCACUAUUUAAAUGUGACAUGGUUGGAUAUGUAAAGAGAACUGAUGAAAAUUUAUUUCAAAACUCAAGUCACAAAGAAGUUGAAAUCUCCCUGAGUAUGGAAAAAAAUCUAGACCCAGCUGACAGUAUACAACUCACAAAUUCUAGUUUGUCUGAGGUUCUCAGUGAGACCGAUCUUGGUCAGAACAGAUUGGAGAGAGUUGAAUCUGGAGGUAAUAUGUUUUCAGAAUCAGCUUUAUGUACAAUUGAAGAAAAAUUAAAGGAUCAUCACUUACCAUCUGAAUUACCAGAUGAAAAAGAGGAUUGUAUCAAACCAAACAAUUCAAUAGUUGAUAAUGAUGUGGUAACUAUUCCCCAAUCUGAGAAUAUAAUUAUUCCCUCAGAAGUAAAAACUGUACCUGUUACCACUGAUGAAAAGUUGAAUUUAGUGUCAUGUGAAGAAGAAAUGGAUUUUGAAACCAAAGAGAGCUAUUCUGAGUCUACAACUAUUUUAGAUGAACAAAUGAAAGAACAUAUAAAAUCAGUAGAUAUUGAUGAAAACAGUGAUUUAAAUGAAAUUUCUAUAUCAUCACAUAAAGCACUACAAGUGACAGAGAACAAAGAAGCGUUGGGGGUGAAAGAAAUUGAAUUGAGUUCGCCCAGUAUCAACUUUAUGGAAAUUCCAGUUUGUGUUGAGCAAACAACUCUGGAAAAUCGUGUAGAAUUGUCAGAAGUAAAAAAUACAAAUAUUGAAGAAGAAUUGUAUGACAUUUCAACUAAAAAAGAAAUAAAUCAUAAAACUAAUGAAACCUAUUCUGAGCCAUCAACCAUUCUAGAUGGGGUACUUAGACAAGAAAUACUAAUUGAUAAAAACUGUAGUUUAAGCACAAUAUCUACAGAAUUGGCUCAAACAAAUUUAGACAUCACAGACACCAAAGAAUUCUUCCCGCAAAGAGAACUUCACUCGUCUAAUAUAAAAUGUACAGAAGGUGUCCCUUCUUGUGUUGAGACUGCAGAACAAGUAGAUAUUAUAAAUCAUAAGCCUGUUGAAAAUACUGUUAACAUGAACAGUGGUGAGAAAGUCACUUUACGACAAAGUAGAGUUGAUUGUAAUAUAUUAGAAAUACGUGGAAAUGAUCAUGCAGUUGAAAAAGAAUUCACUGAAGUUCACAAUGUAAAUUGUGAAACAAGUACAAAAGGUCUGGAAGAAGUUACAUCCUUGCAUGAAACAAGUGAGUCUAAGGAUUCUUGUAAUUUUGCUCCUCCAAAUGAUUUUGCAAACACAGAAGUUAAAAGUGAUCUAAAAUCACAAGCCAUUACAGAGUUUGAACAUAACAUUUCUACUCAUAAUCCAAUCAAAAAUUCUUUAAGUGAUGAGGCGCAAAUUGAUUCAGUAUCGAUCAGUAAGGAAAGGCAUAAUAAUCCUGUAAUGAUAGAACAUGUUCUAGAAUCUGAAAACUCAUUGAAGAAAAUACAUACUGACUCAAUACAAAUUGAAGAAGCGAAUAUUGUAGUGGAAAAGAGUUCAGAAAUUCUUGACACUGACAUUAGUGUUGUUAAUACAGAGACAGGUGUUUUGAAAAUGUCAUCAGAUUCUCUUAACUCAACUGAGAAUAAUAUUUUGGUCUCAAAUUCUGUCGAAGUAACAGAAUCUGGUAUAUCCGUUCAACAAGACAUCACUUGCAGUGAUGAAAGUUUGAGUAGAAGUUUUAGUUGUACUUCAAGCAAUGAUAAUGAAGCAAACUCAUCGUUUUUAAAUACAAAACAGUCAUUAGAAGAGAUGGAAAGCAAAUUAUACAGCGAGUUUACUCUAACAAAUCUUAAGGUAGAUCAAAUUCUCAGUAAGCAUGAACCAAUAGAGUCACUUGCGUCAAAGCUCAUCAACAGUCCUGCAACACAAUUUGACGAAAAAGAGUAUCGUAAAACACCAAAGUCGAAAUCUCCAGGAUACAAAACUAAUAAGUCUAAAUCACCUCCUAAACGAAGCCUUAUCAAAGAUUUCAAAACUUCUUGUGUCACUGAUCCGUCUAACUCCAGAGAUGACAACAUUGAGAUUUUUGUUGCCAGUGAAAAACUGGAUGUUACUUUUGAUGCUUUUGAUGAAAGAUUAGCAGAGGAAGCAGCCAAUGUAUCGGAACACAUUCUGAGUCUGUCUCAUGAUCUUCAAGAUUCAGAUUCAGAUGGAGAGAACAAUAGAACUGUUAUCACAUUAAAUGAGGAGAAGAGUAAAGUUGUUGGUCAAUCUUCAAAUGUGAUAGUGAGUGCAUCACCAUCUCUGCUCUCGUCACACAGAAUCUCUUCAAGAGGAGAAACUAUAAUUCUAGAAACACAACCCUUUGUUGGCGUCAACACUGCAUCAUUCGAGUCUUAUUUGCAGAGUAUGCGCUCGGUACAUCCCACUGACCUGAACCAAAGUGAAGCCGGCCCAAUCACUGCCGAUGAACUAAGCACUCAGGACUUGGAGUUCCAGGACGGAUCCAACUUGGACUUGGACUACUUCACUCGAGGUAGUGAGACCGACACUGUAGUGAAGAGCUCAUUGACACGUGACUCACUCUAUGUUAAGUUUGAUCCUAUAGUUGGUGCAAUAGUGUCCAAAACUGUUAGUGACUCAUUUGCCAUGCCACCUCCACCUGCUCCUGCCCCGGAAGGGGAGACUAAUAACAGGGAGGAACAGCUUGAAUCGCAUCCUGAUGAGCCAAAAGAGGAUAGCCUCGUGCAGGGUCAAGGUGAACCCCAAAAGACACCGGGUCGCAGUCCAGCACUGGAGGCUGUGCAGAAGUUAAUCUCUCUGACCCCACCAUCAGCCUCGUCAGGGACACCAGUCAAGAUCCCAUCGGCCACACCUGCAAAAUCUAUUUAUGACAAUGUUUGUUACUUGGGUUGGUGUCCACAUGUAAGUGUUGAUCUGCUUUCUUCUUAAAACAGCUUUAAACAAUAUAAGUGCUUUAAACCCCCAUUAAUACUGGGAGCGCGGCUCGGUGGGAGGAUUGAACACAAACACUCCAUCACCCCGUAUCUCGCAGGAGCACCUGCAGAGGGAGUUGAACAAGCUUGAGGAGCUUUUGAUGAGUCAGGACAUGUCUCACAAGGGAGAAUUGGAGAAGAAAGAUGCAGAGAUAAAGAGGCUGACUGCCAAGCUCUCUGAGAUGGAAGCAGGAGCAAAGGCACUGACAGAGCGGGAAAUUAGGCUC